rnacentral:rRNA from 1 species
AGUGAACGCUGGCGGUGGGCCUAACACAUGCAAGUCGAACGGCAGCACAGGAGAGCUUGCUCUCUAGGUGACGAGUGGCGGACGGGUGAGGAAUACAUCGGAAUCUGCCCAGUCGUGGGGGAUAACGUAGGGAAACUUACGCUAAUACCGCAUACGACCUUCGGGUGAAAGAGGGGGAUCGCAAGACCUCUCGCGAUUGGAUGAGCCGAUGUCGGAUUAGCUAGUUAGCGGGGUAAUGGCCCACCAAGGCGACGAUCCGUAGCUGGUCUGAGAGGAUGAUCAGCCACACUGGAACUGAGACACGGUCCAGACUCCUACGGGAGGCAGCAGUGGGGAAUAUUGGACAAUGGGCGCAAGCCUGAUCCAGCCAUACCGCGUGGGUGAAGAAGGCCUUCGGGUUGUAAAGCCCUUUUGUUGGGAAAGAAAUCUUUCAGGCUAAUACCCUGGGAGGAUGACGGUACCCAAAGAAUAAGCACCGGCUAACUUCGUG